rnacentral:lncRNA from 1 species
GAACAUCCUUAUUCUCCCUAAAACGGAACAGUACGCAGGAUUACGUUUCUAAACAUUCCUGUGACCAUCUUCUAUGAAAGUCUCUCUUUGGGUCAUGCUUGGUCAAAACUGAGCCUUAAUGAGUCAAUCAAAAACAAACUCUGUGGUCAAGUCCUCAGAAUCAUUUUGCAAAUCAAAAGGAGCUGGAAAGGAAGGAAUCCGAAAAUUCUCUUUCCUAAGGCAGUCAGUUGUAGGAAUGGAUUUCACUGAUUUUCCAUGUUGGGCCUGAGGAGAGGCAUUGUGUUCCAAAGGAUGUGCCUAUCUUCUUACAUAGUCAGCGAAGAGAAGAGCGGAAGCGAGCUGCUGUGUCCAGGCUAGAAUCAAAAUGGCAUACUUCAGCCUAUGGAUGGCCAAGGGGAGAUGUCCGUGAAAGAGGGUAUGUAUAUAGGUCUGGGGAUUUGCAAAGACAUCUGAGGUCAAAUACAGAUUUGGGAGUCAUUUGCAUCUGGGUGUUGAGGCCAAGGGGAUGGGUGACAUCUCAUGAGAGGGUGUAUAGGGUGAGAAAAGAGUACCUAGGAAAACUAGGAGGAGCACCAACAUGUGGGAAAGAAAUGGCCCGAGGAGGAGGAGUCCAUGAAGGACAGGCAGGAGGUAGGAAGAAAUCCGUAGGAG